rnacentral:rRNA from 1 species
UACGAAGGGAGCUAGCGUUGUUCGGAAUUACUGGGCGUAAAGCGCGCGUAGGCGGCUUGCCAAGUCAGAGGUGAAAUCCCGGGGCUUAACCCCGGAAUUGCCUUUGAAACUGGCAGGCUUGAGAUCGAGAGGGGAUGGCGGAAUUCCUAAUGUAGAGGUGAAAUUCGUAGAUAUUAGGAGGAACACCGGUGGCGAAGGCGGCCAUCUGGCUCGAUACUGACGCUCUGGCGCGGAAGCGUGGGGAUCAAACAGG